ACUUUGAUUAUUAUUCCCUUGGCAUCACCUAGACACCAACCUCUCUUCUUCUUCUUCUUCCCCAUCCCUUUUCACUUUUCAUCUAUCAUCUGAUGGCUAUGUCUCGAAUUCUCUCCCAAUCCCAGUCCCAAUCCCUCACCCGCGCUUCUCUCCGUCCCUCAAACGCCCUAAUCACCCACCACCGCCACCGCUCCACUAAACCCGCCCACGCUCAACUCAUCGAGCUCGACCUCGACACCGCCUCUCCAUCGCAGCCCUCCAUCAAAAGCCUCGGGGACGCCAUCCACAGCAUCAUCGUCCGCCGCGCCGCUCCCGAUUGGCUCCCCUUCCUCCCCGGCCACUCCUAUUGGGUCCCCUCCGCCGGCAUGAUUCAAGCCCUUCACAGACUAACUUCAUCCGAGGCGGAGCCCGCCACAUUGCACCAUGAAUUGUUGUCCGAGGACGAGCAGAUGUCCCUUUUAUCCGCCAAGGGUUGGCCUUCCUCCACUUAUUUUAUUGGAGUUCUAUUUGUAUUCAUGAUGUGUGGUGUUUUCCACUCUAGUUACUUCACCGCAUCAUCCAAUCCAGAUAAUAGUACUCCCGGAAACUUCUAGCUCCAAGGAUGAACCUUGACUAUUGCUUGGGCACAUCAGGUCUGCUGCACAAUCCUGGUUGCCGUCGUUGCAGAUAUGGAAAGCAUGGAAAAGGUCAAGGUGGAAAGCAACUUUGAAGGAAGAAGAAGCAGAUUGAAUUUGCAUCAUCAUUUCCUUAGUAGAAUGAAGACGUCCUGCAGUCUUUAAAACAUGCUUGUUUGGUAUCUUGUACCCAAAUAGAGAAUGUAUAUUAUCAAUUUUAGUCAAUAGUUUUAUGUGGUCACAAUUGAUGAAAGUUGAGUUGAUUAAAUAAAGAGCUUGUUUUCCACAGAA